GCAUCUUUAGCUCAGUUGGAUAGAGCGUCGCCCUCCGGAGGCGAAGGUCGCAGGUUCGACUCCUGCAAGGUGCACCA
rnacentral:tRNA from 1 species